rnacentral:rRNA from 1 species
AUGGAUUACCAAGGGAGCAAAGUUAGGGAUUUCCUUCAUACUAAUGGACAAGUGGUGCUUGAAAGAGGAGUGAGUAACUAUAAUCUAAGAUCUUUCACUCAAAAAGAGAUAGAAGACAUCACGAGUGGGUAUAGCACCAUGGUGGGAGAAGGGGGAUUUAGUAAGGUUUACAAAGGAAAAUUAGAUGGUCUUUGUCCAGUUGCGGUAAAGAUAUACAAAAAUGGAACCAAGAAAGAAGAGUUUGCCAAAGAGGUGAUAGUGCAUUCCCAGAUAAAUCACAAGAAUGUUGUCAGACUGUUUGGUUGCUGCACAGAGGAAAAUGCUCUUACGAUUGUUAUGGAGCUCGUAUGCAAUGGCAACCUCUACGACAUGCUUCACUGCAGCAGCAAUGCUAAUGGUUUUGUCCCCUUCCCUUUGGACAAACGUUUGGACAUCGCCAUUGAGUCAACUGAAGUAUUAUCAUGCAUGCAUUCAAUGUAUAGCCCGGUUCUUCAUGGUGACAUGAAAACCUCUAAUAUACUGCUAGAUGAAAAUCUCCGGCCAAAGUUAUCUGAUUUUGGGAUAGCAAGAUUGCUUGCUACUGAUGAGACUCAGCACACCAGAUCUAUCAUGGGUAGUAUAGGUUACGUGGACCCUUUGUUCUGUCACAGUGGGAUUCUUACUUCCAAGAGUGAUGUAUACAGUUUCGGAGUCGUUUUGUUGGAAAUCAUCACCCGGAAGAAAGCUUUGGAUGGGAAUAUCAGCCUUGCUCGAAGUUUUGCCGAAGCCCUGAGAAAAGGGAAAAAGGUGAGGCAAAUGUUUGAUGAGGAAAUUGCGAAUGAUAAAAAGAAUAUAAAAUUUCUUGAAAACAUCGCAAGAUUAGCAGCUGAAUGCUUGAAAAUGGAGGCAAAAAUGCGUCCAGAAAUGGUUGAAGUAGCAGACAGACUCAGGACAAUCAGAAAAGAUUACCAUCAUCGCAUUGGCAGAAAUUCUACAUGUAGCAACUCUGGACUUGCUAAAAGUGGAAAGGCAGAGGCUGUGCUUUCCCCUACCCCUAUUACCACUGUUACUAUCAACAACACUAAAAAAAAUUCCACCAGUGGUGGUACG